CCUUGACUCCAAGUGGGAGGGGGAAGCCGUAAGGUGGGUGUGAAACUGGAAAACCCCUCAGGGUCCAUCAGGAUGAAGUAAGUCAAAUUGCCACUGUUGGCCCAGCUUUGCAACCGAGAAUUCAAAAGGCUGUUACCAUCGAUGUGUGCCCCUGGUGUUGACUCGGAUCUCCCGGGGACUGAGUCCAGCUAACACUAGCACUAUCCAGGACCCAUGGACUAGCUGAAAUCCUGAGCCCAGAACAAAGCCUUGAGGCUCAAGUCACCAACAUCAGAGAGGCACCCAUGAGACAAUGGCCUCUGCUCCUGCUCUCCUCAGAGUGACAUCGCAAGGAGGCGUGGGAAGGAUGGACUAUGAAUCCCUGACGGCAGAUCCUUAGUGUGUACUGUGUUCAUCACUGAGCUCUCAUAUGGCCCAGCGUGUCUACUCAGAAGAAAAUGCAAACGGAAGUCUAUGUAUGCGAACAUGUCUGCACAAGAAGGAAGCCAGGCAGAAAUAUACGAGCCAUCAUCACAUUGAGCACCGAGCUACAGAAAUAUCUGAAAAAGUAGCAGAAACUGUCAGGGCUAGUUUCACCAGAAGGCUUGAAUCGGCAAGGGCUUGUAGCACCCAGGCCAUGUGAAGGUGUGGAAACAGCUAGGGGUUUUAGCUACUGAACUCACAGAGAUGGAGAAUAGAAUGGGAGUGUCGGAGCCUAGGAGAGAGGAGUGAGGAGUUUGUGUUCCUCAGGAAUGGGAAGAAGUCCUGGCAAUGAUGGGGAGUGAGAAACAUCCUAGAACUGCAAAGCCACUCAACUGUUUGCAGCUCCACAGAUUUGCACAUCAACAGCUUAGACAGUCCGAGGACACACAGGAAAAAGAUACAAGCUCAGUCCCUUCCACGGCUCUCACAGCAGUCUUUGGACAACUGUGUGGGUUUCCCUACACAUCAAUCCAGUAGUCAGUUCUUGGCAAAGUCCUGCAAGGCAGCCUCCAAUAUCAUUCAAUUUGGAUUUGAUUCUUCCAGGAAGCAAAGGCGGACACCACAGAGCAGGGCUGGGGCCUCCAGAUGGCCUCUGCUUCGGGACCAAUUUCAAAUCCCAGCGUCCAGAACUUACCACCUAUCAGUUAGGG
rnacentral:lncRNA from 1 species